CCCCUAGUAACUGCGAGUGAAAUGGGAAAAGCUCAAAUUUGAAAUCUGGCAGUCUCCUUUUUCUUCUUUGGCUGUCCGAGUUGUAAUCUAGAGAAGUGCUUACCUACACUGGACCAUGUAUAAGUCUCCUGGAAUGGAGCGUCAUAGAGGGUGAGAAUCCCGUCUUUGACAUGGACUGCCAGUGUGUUGUGGUGUGCUCUCAAAGAGUCGAGUUGUUUGGGAAUGCAGCUCUAAAUGGGUGGUAAACUCCAUCUAAAGCUAAAUAUUGGCAAGAGACCGAUAGUGAACAAGUACCGUGAGGGAAAGAUGAAAAGGACUUUGGAAAGAGAGUUAAACAGUAUGUGAAAUUGUUGAAAGGGAAACGCUUGAAGUCAGUUAUGUUGGUUAGGGAUCAGCCCAGCUAAUUUUGCUGAGUGAAUUUCCUAGUCUGACAGGCCAACAUCAGUUCUGACUGCUAGAAAAGAGCAGAGGGAAUGUGGCACCUUUGGGUGUGUUAUAGCCUUUUGUCAUAUGUGGCAGUUGGGACUGAGGAAUGCAGCGUGCUGUAAAGCUGGGUUAUGACCACUUUCGCGCUUAGGAUGUUGG
rnacentral:rRNA from 1 species